rnacentral:lncRNA from 1 species
GUCAAAGCUCACUCCGAAGAGGCUGGGAAGUGCCUCAAAUUCUCUCAAUGCCAAUAAACAUAUAUAUAUAUAGCUAUGCAGCUGGUGCAACACUGCCCGCAUCAUCGUCGUCGUCGUCGUCAUCAUCAUCCCAAUCAUUCUUCCGGUGAACAUGAAACUGUGUCUUGGACAGCUCCUCCUCCUUUUUAAAAACCAACUUGGAAGCAGCAAGUAACUGUUUGCUAUUGACACUCACCAUUGCAACUGACAUAUAUAAAAUAGGGUUUAGAUAGGAAAAAAAAAGAAAAAAAAAAAGGACCUGCUUACCUAAGAAAUUGACCAAAGAAAUUAAAUAAGCAUGCAGUGUGUAUGCGGAAGCUAGUUGC